GAUGAGCCAGAAUUGGCACCUUGUCUUUAAUAAGGUGCAAAAUGAUUUUUAACUGAAGAGUUUGAUCAUGGCUCAGAUUGAACGCUGGCGGCAGGCUUAACACAUGCAAGUCGAGCGGAGUGAUGGUGCUUGCACUAUCACUUAGCGGCGGACGGGUGAGUAAUGCUUAGGAAUCUGCCUAUUAGUGGGGGACAACAUUUCGAAAGGAAUGCUAAUACCGCAUACGUCCUACGGGAGAAAGCAGGGGAUCUUCGGACCUUGCGCUAAUAGAUGAGCCUAAGUCGGAUUAGCUAGUUGGUGGGGUAAAGGCCUACCAAGGCGACGAUCUGUAGCGGGUCUGAGAGGAUGAUCCGCCACACUGGGACUGAGACACGGCCCAGACUCCUACGGGAGGCAGCAGUGGGGAAUAUUGGACAAUGGGCGGAAGCCUGAUCCAGCCAUGCCGCGUGUGUGAAGAAGGCCUUAUGGUUGUAAAGCACUUUAAGCGAGGAGGAGGCUACUUUAGUUAAUACCUAGAGAUAGUGGACGUUACUCGCAGAAUAAGCACCGGCUAACUCUGUGCCAGCAGCCGCGGUAAUACAGAGGGUGCAAGCGUUAAUCGGAUUUACUGGGCGUAAAGCGCGCGUAGGCGGCUAAUUAAGUCAAAUGUGAAAUCCCCGAGCUUAACUUGGGAAUUGCAUUCGAUACUGGUUAGCUAGAGUGUGGGAGAGGAUGGUAGAAUUCCAGGUGUAGCGGUGAAAUGCGUAGAGAUCUGGAGGAAUACCGAUGGCGAAGGCAGCCAUCUGGCCUAACACUGACGCUGAGGUGCGAAAGCAUGGGGAGCAAACAGGAUUAGAUACCCUGGUAGUCCAUGCCGUAAACGAUGUCUACUAGCCGUUGGGGCCUUUGAGGCUUUAGUGGCGCAGCUAACGCGAUAAGUAGACCGCCUGGGGAGUACGGUCGCAAGACUAAAACUCAAAUGAAUUGACGGGGGCCCGCACAAGCGGUGGAGCAUGUGGUUUAAUUCGAUGCAACGCGAAGAACCUUACCUGGCCUUGACAUAGUAAGAACUUUCCAGAGAUGGAUUGGUGCCUUCGGGAACUUACAUACAGGUGCUGCAUGGCUGUCGUCAGCUCGUGUCGUGAGAUGUUGGGUUAAGUCCCGCAACGAGCGCAACCCUUUUCCUUAUUUGCCAGCGAGUAAUGUCGGGAACUUUAAGGAUACUGCCAGUGACAAACUGGAGGAAGGCGGGGACGACGUCAAGUCAUCAUGGCCCUUACGGCCAGGGCUACACACGUGCUACAAUGGUCGGUACAAAGGGUUGCUACCUAGCGAUAGGAUGCUAAUCUCAAAAAGCCGAUCGUAGUCCGGAUUGGAGUCUGCAACUCGACUCCAUGAAGUCGGAAUCGCUAGUAAUCGCGGAUCAGAAUGCCGCGGUGAAUACGUUCCCGGGCCUUGUACACACCGCCCGUCACACCAUGGGAGUUUGUUGCACCAGAAGUAGCUAGCCUAACUGCAAAGAGGGCGGUUACCACGGUGUGGCCGAUGACUGGGGUGAAGUCGUAACAAGGUAGCCGUAGGGGAACCUGCGGCUGGAUCACCUCCUUAA
rnacentral:rRNA from 1 species